GUAGCCUAUUCAACUUUCAAAGGGGCGUAAUUUAAUUCUAAAUUUAUGGUUUUUAUGGUGUGCCUUAUAAGGCCCUUAUUAAAUGUAUAGGGCCUACAUAAGCUAAGCAUACCGGUAUUUUUUUCUCAUUAUUUUGAUUUCAGAACGUGAUAAACUUACUGAAUUGCAUUGGCUAUCUUCAUUGAGGAAGGUGGAAUACGCAUUUGGGUUGGAUGUAGUUGUGACAAUUGUAAAUUUUUUCAAACUCAAUUGUUGACAUUUUCUUUUUGGAUAUAAGCGAGGUUUUUCAUCAUAUUAUUAGAGCAUUUACUGUAUUAAAAAUAUUAUUUUUCCGUAUCUAAAAAUCAACUACAAAAAUAAAAGUAGAUACUUGGUCCAUUUCAUGUGUUAGCAAUAACCAACUUUGUUCUUGAUUGAGAAUAUAUUUGAAAAACACAUUCUUGAUAGUAGAGUAGUAUUGUGGCUUUGACAACCAUAUGAUAUGUGUAUGCUUGUACCCAAAAGGUCCUUUUUUAGACAGACCGUAUGUUUUAAAUUGAAAUACUCUUUAUAUAUGUUAAACUUUUGAGCACAACUUUUGUGUCGCUCACUUUUCGUCUUUAUUUUCGGAGUUGAAUGUAUGAAAUAAUGAGUAGGUACUUUUUGGACACAAAAGUGAGAGAUACUCAAGACUGUCAUUAUUGGAGUCAUUGUUGUUUAUUGACAUAAUAGUUUAUUAUGUUUAACCUAUAGUUUAAUUGAUAAAAAGAUAAAAAUACAUUCAUUUGAAAAACAAAAAAAUAAACUGAAAAUUGGUUCAAUCUAUCUACCCACAAUUAAAAACAAUAAUAUCGAGUGACCUGGCUGGCUCGGGUAAGUUAAAGGUAUUGUACCUAUAUUAUGUGAGAAUGAUAAACUACACUGAUUCCUGUCCACUCUUCCUACCAAUGUUUUGUUUUUAGUUUGUUUUAAUAUAUCGGUAAUAUAAUAAUACAGUACUAACCAGUACCGCAGUGCCAGAUAAAUUUCCCGUCAUUCUUUGUUGAGGGGGCAUUGGACAGGGGGUUGAAGUUGACUUACUAGAGGUUGUUAGGGGGGAGGUGUUGGUGAGGGAGGUACCGCCCCCAGUCAUGCAAUCUAUUUGCAGAGCGGUUGCUGAUGAUAUAAUCAUUAUUAGUCUGAAAUAGUCGGCACCUCACUGCUGUGUGCUAUACGUUGCUCAUUGCCCUCAUCUGCCGGUCCAUGUUGUCUUUUGUUUUGUUUUCGAAUCUGUGUUUUGUUGGCAAUCUGUAACUUACGCCUUGUGCGCAGACUGUAUGCAAACUCUGGUGAGUUGAUUCUAAUCUACCAUUGGCGAUUAUCAUCUAUUCUAUUCUAUGGUUACCGGUGAGUGAUAGGCCUGAUAUUGUGAUAUUUUCUAUUGUGAGAUUGUCUUGAAAGUGUUAUUAAUGGUUGAAUGGGAAGCGCUGGUGUUAUAUUUGUAAGGAAUACAGACAGUCUAAAGUGUAAAUCAGUAUCAGAGUCAGUGAAAAUAUAAUUCUCUGUGCUGUUUUAAGGGUGAUCGUAUUUAA